CCUACGGGUGGCAGCAGUGAGGAAUAUUGGUCAAUGGACGAGAGUCUGAACCAGCCAAGUAGCGUGAAGGAUGACUGCCCUACGGGUUGUAAACUUCUUUUAUAUGGGAAUAAAAUGUUCCACGUGUGGGUUUUUGUAUGUACCUUCUGAAUAAGGAUCGGCUAACUCCGUGCCAGCAGCCGCGGUAAUACGGAGGAUCCGAGCGUUAUCCGGAUUUAUUGGGUUUAAAGGGAGCGUAGGUGGAUUGUUAAGUCAGUUGUGAAAGUUUGCGGCUCAACCGUAAAAUUGCAGUUGAAACUGGCAGUCUUGAGUACAGUAGAGGUGGGCGGAAUUCGUGGUGUAGCGGUGAAAUGCUUAGAUAUCACGAAGAACUCCGAUUGCGAAGGCAGCUCACUGGACUGCAACUGACACUGAGGCUCGAAAGUGUGGGUAUCAAACAGGAUUAGAUACCCCUGUAGUC
rnacentral:rRNA from 1 species